rnacentral:rRNA from 1 species
UACAGAGGUCUCAAGCGUUGUUCGGAUUCAUUGGGCGUAAAGGGUGCGUAGGUGGUGAUGCAAGUCUGGUGUGAAAUCUCGGAGCUCAACUCCGAAAUUGCACCGGAUACUGCGUGACUCGAGGACUGUAGAGGAGAUCGGAAUUCACGGUGUAGCAGUGAAAUGCGUAGAGAUCGGGAGGAACACCAGUGGCGAAAGCGGCUCUCUGGUCCAAAACUGACGCUGAGGGGCGAAAGCGUGGGGAGCGAACGGG